rnacentral:rRNA from 1 species
UACGUAGGAGGCAAGCGUUGUCCGGAAUUACUGGGCGUAAAGCGCGUGUAGGUGGUGGGACAAGUCUGCUGUGAAAGCGCCUGGCUUAACCGGGCGAGGUCGGCGGAAACUGUCCGACUCGAGGACGGUAGAGGGGGGUGGAAUUCCCGGUGUAGUGGUGAAGUGCGUAGAGAUCGGGAGGAACACCUGUGGCGAAGGCGGCCCCCUGGGCCGGCCCUGACACUGAGACGCGAAGGCGUGGGGAGCGAACGGG